AUGAACAUUUUCAACUUUAACCGCCUGGUCUCUUCCUUUCGUCCUUUCUCUCCUCCACUUCCUGCCAGAAGAGAAGAGAAGAUCUCAAAGACACGUCUCGGUAAUGAGCGCGUCCCGAGGGGAGGAGCGGACACGCUGUUAUGUUUCUGAAUAGAUGCUUAAUGCACUUUCAUCUUAACAAGGCGCCAUAACGGAUGAGGCUGCGACCUAAAACGGACAGCUGAACAUGUGGCUCUUUAAUUCCUGUCACCUUCCCGUUUCUCUGGCCGGGUUCUCCAGCGUCGCCUCUUUCUCCUUCAGAUUAUUCAGAAGGAGUCCGGAGAAACCGGGAGCUCAACUUGUCAUCUGCAUGAAUGCACAGAUCCCACCUUAAAUUCUGUGGCCUGGGGAAAUUUACAUGAAGACUUUGUCCAAUUAUUCUCUCCCUGGCAAUAUGAACAGUGUGAGCGUCACGCAUGGUCGGCCCGCUGGUGUCAGAGCGCACCUUCUUUCUCCCUGUCGAUUUACAGAGCUGCUCUACAGGCCAAACAGGUAUUCAGCCUCCAACGACGACCGCGACGGCGCUGUCACACAGCAGAAUGUGAUAUUUGGUCUGGAAACACUUCACCUCCUGAAAUCAACAGGAUUAAACACCAUAUUGUUUUACACCAUAUGGCCAAAAGCUUCCCAGCUGAUGUUUUCACCCGGCUGCAGGGAUUCGGCUCGCAGUCGGUGUUCCAGUUCAUCCCAAAGGUGUCGGAUGAGGUCAAGUUCUUCCUCACCAAAUUGGGAAAACCAUUUCUUUAUGGAUCUAACAAACAGCCAAAGACGUCAGUAGCCCAGUUUUUCAAAGCCUUGCUAACUCGUCUUCUUCUAUUGUAGAAGGUUCUUGAAAAAUGAGUAAAACUUUCUACAGAAAACACUGAAACGCAAUUAAGUUUGUUAAUAAAACUGUUUUCUUUA